GACAAAACCCAAUUAAAUCCUGGGUCACUUCAGAAACUCUUUAGAGAGGUUAGGAUAAUGAAAAUGCUUGAUCACCCCAACAUAGUGAAACUCUUUCAAGUUAUCGAAACGGAAAAGACGUUGUAUCUCAUCAUGGAGUACGCAUCGGGUGGUGAGGUCUUUGACUAUUUGGUACUACAUGGGCGUAUGAAAGAGAAGGAAGCGCGUGUUAAGUUUCGUCAAAUUGUAUCGGCUGUGCAAUACUGUCAUCAGAAGAGAAUAAUACACAGGUGUGU